UACGUAGGCAGCAAGCGUUGUUCGGAGUUACUGGGCGUAAAGAGUGCGUAGGCGGUCCUGUAAGUUUGGUGUGAAAUCUCCCGGCUCAACUGGGAGGGUGCGCCGAAGACUGCAGGGCUUGAGUAUGGAGAGGUAAGCGGAAUUCCUGGUGUAGCGGUGAAUGCGUAGAUAUCAGGAGGAACACCUGUGGUGUAGACAGCUUACUGACCAUAACUGACGCUGAGGCACGAAGCGUGGUAGCA
rnacentral:rRNA from 1 species